rnacentral:rRNA from 1 species
UUUUUCACAACCCCGAAUUUCACUUCCUUGUGAAGAGGCAAGGAUAAAAUCGUUAGACGAGAAGACCCUGUCGAGCUUAUAGCAAAAGUUUAGCCUCUACCAUAUUUAAGCUGCCCUAAUUUUUGAUGAUAGGCAAAAUAAAUUUUGGAGGACUAACCAAAGCUUUGGUUGGGGCAACCGCGGAGCAGGAAAAACCUCCGCUAAUACAAUAAACAAUUAAAGUAAGAACAACAAUUCUAAAAUCAAAAAUGAAAGAGUGAUCCACUUAGGUGACCAAAGGAACAAGUUACCGCA